CUCCUCCUUCGAUCUCAUCUCUCCCACGCUCACUCUGUACCCCCCCCCCCCCCCACUUCGCCCUGCUCCCCACACUUCUGUCCCCCACUUCCCUUUGUCCCCCGCACUUCUCUCUUUCCCGCUCCUCCCUCUUUCUUCAAUGCCAAAAGAGCAAAAACCCUAUAAAAUAGCAGUGAGUUGAAUCGUAAAGGUGGUGGUUCAGCUGCAAAAAAUCCCCCCCAAAAAAAUACAAAUUUUUAGCCGUCCAGAAUUCCCGAAAAGAUAUUAGUUUUUCAGUAGCUGCAGAAAGUCUGGAUAUCGGGUCUCUCUCUUUGUCCAGCCACACAAAAGUCCCUAAAAAGUUUCGAUUUUCAGCUGCCCAAAAUUGCUUAAGCAAUAUUAAUUUCAUCAGUCUUAAUAUGGAGUGAAAGUGUUGAAUCAUUUUUUGGUUUUUCGUUUGCUCUGUUGUUGCUGUGAACCCGAGCCUCGCAAGCUUGGAUUUGGCAGUCUUUUGAGAGUCUUAAUUCGAGACUUUAUCAAAACAAAGUCUCAAGAUGAGACUCGGCACACCCGUCCAUAGAGUCAUCUCGAUCCGCAAUUCUUAAAUCACAUUGGGCAGGCGAAACUCGCUAGAGACCGCCUAUAACAUUUUAUUCUUUUUUUCUUUCCUUAUCAUUCGUCUUCUUUCAUCCAUCUUUAUGAUUGCUAAUUUGUCUGUGUUUUGGAUUGUGUGUGGUUUAAAAUUAGGUGUAGAACCUAUGAUUCACGUAGGAUUAGGAAGGGGUGGAUUUUGUCAUUUACGAUUACUGCUCUGAACAUUAGGUACUUAUUUUUACCAUAUAGAGUGCAUCAUUCAUAUAAUAAUGUUUUAAACUUUGUUAGUUAUAAGUUAUUUGUUUUUUCUUCUCAAAGCUAUUUUCUUAAAUUUUAGACCUUAGAAUUAAUUAACCUACGUUUGGCCGGAUAACCGUAGUUAACAGAUUCUAAAGGAUGCCUAGCCCCUUCCCUUUAGGAUAAUAUAGAAUCCUUACCUAGAAUCACACUGGUUAAGCAGACUAUUAACGGAGGUUUAGUUAGCUUUACCUUAGUUAAUAAUUAGGUGCCCUAAUUCACCUUAAAAUCAAUUAGGUGGCGACUCCUUAAAACAAAGCAAUUUAGGAAUCACCAAUAUGUUAUACUCCGCUUCAACCCGGUUAAAAUGGGGUAUAACAGCUUGGCUACUCUGCUGGGGAAAUUAGGUUUUUAACCAUAACAACUUAGGUUAAUAAUUAAUUAAUUGGAUGUUUGGGGUGUUUUGCCUUUAUUUUUUGCUUUGUUGUUUUCGUAUGUGCUUUUAAAUAGCUUUUAUUAUGUGAAAUUUUCUAUGUUACUGCUUUCCUUAAACUGGCAUUCCGUUCAUAUUUCCUCCAUUCCUGGAAAAUUCACACAAAUUCACACACUUAAAGCGGCUUCGCGGUUCGCGCCCGUGCACUACUAAAUUACCCCUUUAGUUGGAUUGGUCCAGUGGAUUUAGUCGAUCGGCGGUGCAGUCGACGGCCACAGCCUUUCCACUCCCAAUUUGUCCGCUUGGGGGAGCCUUGUGUCAUAGGAAAACAACUCCUAGUCAGUCUAAGAUAGAGCUUGCCACCAAUUUUAUUAAGUCAUGCAUGCAUAAGCCUUAGGUGGGUCGGUCCUUGGUAUCGACUCCGCAAUUAGGAAACCUACCAAAUUGUCGACGGGUUUCAUAACCCAACGACCAACAAGCAUAUUAUGUGUAAAGUGAUAAUGAUAGAAGGAUCCAAGCCUAAUCAUGACAUGUCAAGUUUGGGAAUCAUUUCUUUUUGUAGAAUAGAUCUGCCAUAGUGUAGCAUUAUGUGUUCUUUAUGUGCUUUGUUUAAUGUGUUUUAGAUUAGAUUAGAUUUAUAUGUUUGAAACAAUAUUCAACAUAGUAUCGAGGCUUCUUUAGUUUUAAAGCUGUGAGGAUUAGCAAUAUCUUAAAAUUGAUAAGAAUACUCUUUCAAAUGUUAAUACACUUUAGUCACAACUUUGACUUGUUUAAAUGCAAAGGAAGAGUAAGCUUGAGUUUCAGGUCUGUUACAAUUGAAACCUUUGAUCUGUCUAGUAAUUAGAUGAGUACUCAGCUGAUAGGGAUUGUUUAGUUCAUUUUUCCAAUCGUAACAGACCUGUUUAGUAUAAAUCGGACCUGAAUUGUUGUGCUCAUUGGCUUUGUCAGUCAGUCUAUAUCAGUUUUUGUCGCAUAUUUGCUUAGUUUAGCUGUUCAGUCCAGUAAAUGUUUGUUCAUUAUGUUUGCAUUUCGUUUGAGUGCCUUAGUUUAAGUGUCUAUCUAUGAAGUUUUGAGUAUUCACCACGUCUAGACUUUUGAAGUUGUUUGGCUAUUUAGUUACGAAUCUUCAAUGUCAUUGAUUGUUUAUAUAUUUUAGUAUAGCUGGUUGUUAGAUAAAUUUGGUUAUCAUGCGUAUGGUUUCUGUACUAACUAAUCCUUUUUAUGUGAUUAAUAUAUGUUAGUUUUAAUUCGGUUUAAUUUGUAGUCAAUGGUAUGCUUUUUCAAAUGAUUACAAGUAUGCUAAGUUGAGCUCAAAUUCCUUCUUUAACUAUGUGUUAGUUCAGGUUAGUGCUAGGUUAUUAGCAUGCCUCAUAUCUGUUUAGCCUAGCUUUGUUCAAGCAUAUAUGUAUUUUGCCUGAGAUGCAGAUUAAAUUCGAACUAGAAUGCUUUUUUGGGUAUGUGUCUCAAUGUUAGGAGUCUAAUUGGAGAGUGCUUGUUUGGUUAUGUGUCUCAAUGUUAUGAGUCUCAUUGGGUCAUUCAUGCCUAUCAAAUAUUCACUUUAGAUAAUCACAGUUUGACAUAGUCUCAAUACAGUCUUAAUGCAUGCUUAUAUUCUAAACUCAGUCCUGGAUACCCUGUAUGUUCUUUGGCAUCCUCUUAUAUUCCAUGGCUAUACAUGUGUGUUGGUUGGGACUGUCAGUGAUUUGUAUGUUUGAAUAAGUGUAGAUACUUGUCUGAGAUCUUCUUGUUGACUGUUUAAGCUUAAAAUAAUUAAUACAUGUGUCUGAUGCUACCUUUGCUAUGCACUUAUCCACCUUUGCUCUUCGAUACCUUGUGUGUUGCCUUAAUACCCCGAGGAUCCUGUGAUAAUACUAUACUCUGAGGUUCUAUUUGUUUAAGCGUGAAAAAAAAAACUUGCAUCUUGCUCUAAAAUAAACUGAUGCAUCUAGCUUAAAUACCCAUUUGCCCUUAACCAGAGAUAGAGAAUGUCACACUGUAGAUCAUGAAUGAAGGAUGUUAAUUGUAUAUUUGUUCAAGUGAGAUUUCCUAUCUAAACUGAGCCCAAUGUGAAAAUGGUUGGAACAAAGUAAAUCACUACAAAUAAGAAAUGGAUUGUUUGUGAUCAUGAUGAAUAAGAGAGGCCUAAGAGGUUUUCACUUGGGUGUGAUAGGAUAAGAGUGACUUACCUAGGUCUAGAGAAAGACAAGGAAAGGCUUGAGUUUACUCAGCCUAGUACUAUCAAUCCUAAGCUGUCGGGAUUCCUCUAUGUUGAAUCACACUCCUAUGGGACCCUCUAAGUUUCUGAGGAAGGAGGGAUAUUGCAUAAAUAUAGCUUGUUAUUAAGGAAGAUGGGUUUAGAGUUGUAAAGAUGGCACUAUAUAUCACUAGUUUUGUGUUCUGCUUGGCAUUUCUGAUUUUGGACUUUGCCCUUUUUUUUUUUCACUCUCAGGUCAUAAAGUUGAUAGACUAAUAUGUUUUCCUAUUACUAGGAUAGUUUAAACCAUGCCAUUUUGUUAUCUUUCAUGCUUAAUAUAUCCUCCCAAAGUGGUCUGAAUUUUUCAUGUGUUCCCCAAGAAUAUAGGAAGAGAUGGUUCCUGUUUUUGUGCAUGCUUUAAGUUAACAUAAUGUUCCAUUUAGUCUCUUGGAACUUUGAUCCACUGCCCUCUAUUUGUAUGCUAUGUUUCAAAUGCUAAACCAAAAUGGAUGCCCAUAUUGACAUAUGAAGCAUCUCUUAUGCCCUUCCCUGGUCUGUUCGAAAUUUCCAAUGUGUGUUUCACUCUUUUUUCCUCUGAGUAUCAUGGAAGGUAUAGGUUGAAUAGUGUGUUAUACCCUAUAUAUAGAUGUGAACACAUGUGAGACUGGUUCAAGUUGAUUGAUGUCGUGCCUCUUGUUUGACAGUAUUGCAUCUCCCCUUCUCUAUAUUAUUUCACUCCUUGUGUUCUUUUCAUAACUUGAGGGACUUCUUCAAAACCCAAAUAUCAUGGAUUGGUUUGCUGCACAUUUGAAAAGCUGCUGGUUGUAGUGAGAAGUCCCAUUUGGGAUUAAAUCAAUGCUGCUAACUGCAAAUAAAUGUUGAUUUCUUAAACCAAAUGUUGCACUUAACUAUAGCCCUAUGACAAUUUGUUUGCUGCAUUUUGUGGCUCAUUGUGAUUGCCUUUCUAAGGCCGUACUGCUGCCUAUUGUUACUACUAGUUGUUGAUUUGCUGCUUUAAAUUUCGGGGCAAAAAAUAGAUGCUGCCUAGCUUGUGGUUGAGCUAGUGUCUUGUUAAAAAUGGUAACAAGUAGAUGUUGCAAUUAUAUUUCUGAUGUUGCCCAUGGUUUUCAUAUAUGAUGUUGCCCCUGUUUUCCUGAAAACUUGUUUAAGCCAUGCCUUGUUUACUCUCCACUGGUCAAACGUAAACAACAUAAUAAGUCCUGUCUCCUAUGUUAAACUGCUCAUAAGAUGUAAAAAGGAUAAGGUGACUAGGGGGUGGAAGGGCCUCCACUUCUAAAUAAUAAUUGUUUGAGUGAUUUCCUUUGAAGGCAGAUUAGGAGAUGUCGUUUGUUUGAAGUGUUGGAGUUUAAGUGAAGAUGUUUGGCUCUUUGUCAUUAAUAUUAAACCAUGUUUUAAUGUUACAUUUUAAAAAAAAAAAAUAUAUUAACCCAUGUUUAGCAUAAAGGUGCAUCUUAAUAGUCGUUCUUUUGAUAUAAGUUCCUAGACUCUUUCUUGUCCCUAAUCAUUUUGGCUAUAUUUUGAAUCUGCUGGGAUAUUCUUGAAAUCUGAGUCCCUUUUGUCAUCUUAAUUAUUUUCAAAAUUAGUUUAAGUCAUGAAAAUCCUUCAUAAGUGAAUUACUUGAUACUCCACUUGUUGUUAGCUUGUUAAACAUGUGUCAUUCUCGACACUCCUUCACCCCUCCUCCUUUCGCAUGACUUGGGAAUGUUCCAAUCCCAAAUAUCCAUGAGCAACUGUUGAGGUCAAGUUUCUGUUGUACUGGUGAGGCCUUGCAAAUGGAAUUGAGUUUGGAUAAGUUUGUUGCUGCCUACUUGUUGUACCUUGAGCUAAGUUGGCUACAUCCUUUUAUUCCCUUCUGCUACAACACAUUGUUGUUUCUGUAUAUUUUUGUUGCAUUAUGGUGAAAUUUGUUGCUGCACUGUUGGGUUGACUGUUUUGUUUCAACAAGAAAAAUUGUUGAUCUUCAAGGCUCAUUUUGGUACUAUUGUCUGGCUGAAGUUAUUGUCAUUCUGCUGUUACUCUGUUUUAAGUAGAGGUGAGGAUAAACUGCGGUAUUAUGGGGCUUAGUGAUGCCAUAUUUAAGUCAACUUGUCACUGCAUUUUGAACUAAGCAGUUCUUGUUUCCUGGUCAAGUGUACCACAUUUGUUGUCUAUUGUUGCUACUGCUUGCUGCUGUUUUCUGUCAACUCUAGAAAGACAGCUUCCCGCUAUAUUUUUGGUAUUAAUUACUACAUUUUACAAAGAUGAUGCACUUAAUUUCUGAAUCAAUAGUUGUUGCUACACUUAUGGCAUUAAGGCAGGCAAAUGCUAUAAUUGGUGCUGCUUUACUUUGGCUUUUGAAUUUGUGAAGCUGCUUGAUCAAUGUGGCUUUGAAGUUUUCACUUGAUACCACCUGUUUGCUGCUGCAUUUCGGGUCACUUCUAGGGCCAGUUUGUUGCUGCUAUCUUGCUGCUGAUACAAAGCCAAACGAAGGACAUUAGACCUGAACCGAUCUUGCCAUUACGUUUUGAGACCUGUACUGCUGCAUUGUGAAACAAAAUGGCUGCUUCAUUUUGGCCAUUUAAACAUUUUGGGCCAAAUAGUUUUACUGAUAGGGGAUUUGCCACUACUGCUUUCAAGAAGCUAUUGCAUUUAGAAGAAUAGAUACUGCAUCUUGAUAUGGUUGCUACUUUUUUCUCAAAAAAUAAGCAGAUACUACUCUAGCUGCAUUUUGGCCAUUCCGUUGAUUUGUUUUGGCCACGAGUUACUGUAUUCUAAACCUGAAUUGCUGCUGCAUUUGAACCUAAAUUGCUGCUAUAUUUUGUGGCAAGGAGAUACUGCAUUUUGGCAAUUCAAACCUCAGUUUGGUAGUGAUAUAUCGCCUGCAUUUUGAGCCAACUUGUGGCUGUAUAUUUGUACAAGACUGUUGUGUUUGCAGCUGUUA